UAGGGAAUCUUCGGCAAUGGACGAAAGUCUGACCGAGCAACGCCGCGUGAGUGAAGAAGGGUUUCGGAUCGUAAAACUCUGUUGUUAGAGAAGAACAAGGACGUUAGUAACUGAACGUCCCCUGACGGUAUCUAACCAGAAAGCCACGGCUAACUACGUGCCAGCAGCCGCGGUAAUACGUAGGUGGCACGCGUUGUCCGGAUUUAUUGGGCGUAAAGCGAGCGCAGGCGGUUUCUUAAGGCUGAUGGGAAAGCCCCCGGCUCAACAGGGGAGGGUCAUUGGAAACUGGGAGACUUGAGUGCAGAAGAGGAAAGUGGAAUUCCAUGUGUGUCGGUGAAAUGCGUAGAUAUAUGGAGGAACACCAGUGGCGAAGGCGGCUCUCUGGUCUGUAACUGACGCUGAGGCUCGAAAGCGUGGGGAGCAAACAGG
rnacentral:rRNA from 1 species